rnacentral:rRNA from 1 species
AUUGAACGCUGGCGGCAGGCCUAACACAUGCAAGUCGAACGAGUGGCGGACGGGUGAGUAAUGUCUGGGAAACUGCCUGAUGGAGGGGGAUAACUACUGGAAACGGUAGCUAUUACCGCAUACCAUCGGAUGUUCCCAGCUGGGAUUAGCUAGUAGGUGGGGUGAAGGUUCACCGGGGCGACGAUCCCUAGCUGGUCUGAGAGGAUGACCGGCCACACGGGAACUGUGGAACGGUCCAGCGGCCUACGCGAGGCAGCAGGGGGGAAUAUGGCACAAUGGGCGCAAGGCUGAUGCAGCCAUGCCGCGUGUAUGAAGAAGGCCUUCGGGUUGUAAAGUACUUUCAGCGGGGAGGCGGUACCCGCAGAAGAAGCACCGGCUAACUCCGUGCCAGCAGCCGCGGUAAUUC